UACGGAGGAUGCAAGCGUUAUCCGGAUUUAUUGGGCGUAAAGCGUCCGCAGGUGGUUAUGCAAGUCUGCUGUCAAAGCGCGAGGCUUAACUUCGUAAAGGCAGUGGAAACUGUGUGGCUAGAGGAUGGUAGGGGUCGCGGGAAUUCCCAGUGUAGCGGUGAAAUGCGUAGAUAUCGUGAAGAACACCAGAAGCGAAGGCGGCUACCUGGACAAUUGCUGACGCUCAGGCACGAAAGCGUGGGGAGCAAAAGGG
rnacentral:rRNA from 1 species